rfam:Dipodomys ordii contig_10943, whole genome shotgun sequence.
ACAGAGGUGUUCUUCAACACCACCGAACCCCAAGUGAAGAGAAUUGU